rnacentral:rRNA from 1 species
GUAGGUGGGCAAGCGUUGUCCGGAAUUAUUGGGCGUAAAUCGCGCGCAGGGCGGGUUUUUUAAGUCUGAUGUGAAAGCCCACGGGCUCAACCGUGGAGGGUCAUUGGAAACUGGAGGACUUGAGUACAGAAGAGGAAAGCGGAAUUCUACGUGUAGCGGUGAAAUGCGUAGAGAUGUGGAGGAACACCAGUGGCGAAGGCGGCUUUCUGGUCUGUAACUGACGCUGAGGCGCGAAAGCGUGGGGAGCAAACAGGAUUAGAUACCCCGGUAGUCCACGCCGUAAACGAUGAGUGCUAAGUGGUUACGGGGGUUUCCGCCCCUUAGUGCUGCAGCUAACGCAUUAAGCACUCCGCCGUGGGGAGUACGGCCGCAAGGCUG